rnacentral:rRNA from 1 species
UACGGAGGAUGCGAGCGUUAUCCGGAUUUAUUGGGUUUAAAGGGUGCGUAGGCGGGCUUUUAAGUCAGCGGUAAAAAUUCGGGGCUCAACCCCGUCCGGCCGUUGAAACUGGGGGUCUUGAGUGGGCGAGAAGAAGGCGGAAUGCGUGGUGUAGCGGUGAAAUGCAUAGAUAUCACGCAGAACCCCGAUUGCGAAGGCAGCCUUCCGGCGCCCUACUGACGCUGAGGCACGAGAGUGCGGGGAUCGAACAGG